rnacentral:rRNA from 1 species
AAGUCGUAACAAGGUCUCCGUUGGUGAACCAGCGGAGGGAUCAUUACCGAGUUUACAACUCCCAAACCCAAUGUGAACGUUACCAAACUGUUGCCUCGGCGGGAUCUCUGCCCCGGGUGCGUCGCAGCCCCGGACCAAGGCGCCCGCCGGAGGACCAACCAAAACUCUUAUUGUAUACCCCCUCGCGGGUUUUUUUAUAAUCUGAGCCUUCUCGGCGCCUCUCGUAGGCGUUUCGAAAAUGAAUCAAAACUUUCAACAACGGAUCUCUUGGUUCUGGCAUCGAUGAAGAACGCAGCGAAAUGCGAUAAGUAAUGUGAAUUGCAGAAUUCAGUGAAUCAUCGAAUCUUUGAACGCACAUUGCGCCCGCCAGUAUUCUGGCGGGCAUGCCUGUCCGAGCGUCAUUUCAACCCUCGAACCCCUCCGGGGGGUCGGCGUUGGGGAUCGGCCCUGCCUUGGCGGUGGCCGUCUCCGAAAUACAGUGGCGGUCUCGCCGCAGCCUCUCCUGCGCAGUAGUUUGCACACUCGCAUCGGGAGCGCGGCGCGUCCACAGCCGUUAAACACCCAACUUCUGAAAUGUUGACCUCGGAUCAGGUAGGAAUACCCGCUGAACUUAAGCAU